rnacentral:rRNA from 1 species
CCCCUAGAUGUUCUGGGCCGCACGCGCGCGACACUGAACAGUUCAACAAGUCUUAACCUUGGCCGAUAGGUCUGGGUAAUCUUUGAACGCUGUUCGUGAUUGGGAUAGACCUUUGCAAUUAUGGGUCUUCAACGAGGAAUUCCUAGUAAACGCAAGUCAUCAGCUUGCAUUGAUUACGUCCCUGCCCUUUGUACACACCGCCCGUCGCACCUACCGAUUGAAUGGUCCGGUGAAAUCUCGGGACGGCGGCUUGGUCGCUUGCGUCCGACUGCUGAAACUUGAUUAAACCAUAUCAUUUAGAGGAAGGUGAAGUCGUAACA